rnacentral:misc_RNA from 1 species
CCUACGGGAGGCAGCAGUGAGGAAUAUUGGACAAUGGGCGCAAGCCUGAUCCAGCCAUGCCGCGUGAGUGAAGAAGGCCUUCGGGUUGUAAAGCUCUUUCAGGUGCGACGAUAAUGACGGUAACACCAGAAGAAGCCCCGGCUAAAUUCGUGCCAGCAGCCGCGGUAAUACGAAUGGGGCAAGCGUUGUUCGGAAUCACUGGGCUUAAAGCGUGCGCAGGCGGCUAUGAAAGUCAGGAGUGAAAUCCCCGGGCUCAACCCGGGAAUUGCUUUUGAAACUCCAUAGCUAGAAUCCUGGAGAGGUUAGCAGAAUUCCGAGUGUAGAGGUGAAAUUCGCAGAUAUUCGGAGGAAUACCAAUGGCGUAGGCAGCUAACUGGACAGGUAUUGACGCUCAGGCACGAAAGCGUGGGGAGCAAACAGGAUUAAAUACCCUAGUAGUC